UUAAAUUGAAGAGUUUGAUCAUGGCUCAGAUUGAACGCUGGCGGCAGGCCUAACACAUGCAAGUCGAACGGUAACAGGAAACAGCUUGCUGUUUCGCUGACGAGUGGCGGACGGGUGAGUAAUGUCUGGGAAACUGCCUGAUGGAGGGGGAUAACUACUGGAAACGGUAGCUAAUACCGCAUAACGUCGCAAGACCAAAGAGGGGGAC
rnacentral:rRNA from 1 species